AAAAAAAAAAAAAAAAAAAGGCAUCUAAUGAAAUCAAAGAAAAGAAUUUACAUUUAUGUUAAUGGAUUGCAUUCCAGAAAUAAAAAUGAAACCCACUUCUCAAGAAGAAAUUUAGAUUCGAUGAUGCCAUUAUCCAGAGUUAGGGGAGGAAAAAGAAGAAGAUGUCAAAAGCACCCUACAAGUAAAAUAUAUAUACAGGAUCUCCCGCAAAGAAUACCAAAAGGACAUAUAUGUUUGUAUCACAAUUUUUUCAUAACAAAACCUACCAGAAAAAAAUAAAUAAAUAAAUAAAAC
rnacentral:misc_RNA from 1 species